AUGGGUGUGUUUACUGGUAACCAAGUGCCACGAAGUAAACUUAAGAUUUUCACUUUCGCAAAAUUUGCCAACGGUAAAUGUCUUGUAUCUAAUCAGGAGAGCCACUGUUGUAAGGUGUGGAAAUAAAAUGUUCCUGUGGACAGAUCAUGAGCUUCGGAUGCUGACUGUGCCUGGUGGAUUCGUGCCAAAAUCAUGUUCGCCAUGUUUAUUCUUGCCUUUAUCUGAUUAUGGAUAGCGCAGGCAGAGUUUGAGAUGUUCAAAAUGUCUGGUAUUCUAAUCCUGCCAAAAAUGUCUUCACACCUUUAUCCCUAAUAUAUCUACUGUGUCCCUUGG